rnacentral:rRNA from 1 species
UACGUAGGGGGCUAGCGUUGUCCGGAAUCAUUGGGCGUAAAGAGCGCGUAGGUGGCUAGAUAAGUCCGGUGUGAAAGUCACAGGCUCAACCUGUGAAUGCCGCUGGAAACUGUCUGGCUAGAGUCCGGAAGGGGCGAGUGGAAUUCCUGGUGUAGCGGUGAAAUGCGCAGAUAUCAGGAGGAACACCAAUGGCGAAGGCAGCUCGCUGGGACGGUACUGACGCUGAGGCGCGAAAGCGUGGGGAGCAAACAGG